CCUACGGGAGGCUGCAGUGAGGAAUAUUGGUCAAUGGACGAGAGUCUGAACCAGCCAAGUAGCGUGAAGGAUGACUGCCCUAUGGGUUGUAAACUUCUUUUAUAAAGGAAUAAAACGAGGCACGUGUGCCUUUUUGCAUGUACUUUAUGAAUAAGGAUCGGCUAACUCCGUGCCAGCAGCCGCGGUAAUACGGAGGAUCCGAGCGUUAUCCGGAUUUAUUGGGUUUAAAGGGAGCGUAGAUGGGUUGUUAAGUCAGUUGUGAAAGUUUGCGGCUCAACCGUAAAAUUGCAAUUGAUACUGGCAGUCGUGAGUACAGUUGAGGGAAGCGGAAUUCGUGGUGGAGCGGUGAAAUGCUUAGAUAUCACGAAGAACCCCGAUUGCGAAGGCAGCUUACUAAACUGUGACUGACAUUGAUGCUCGAAAGUGUGGGUAUCAAACAGGAUUAGAUACCCUUGUAGUC
rnacentral:rRNA from 1 species